rnacentral:lncRNA from 1 species
GUCAGGCAGCGGGCAGCCGCGGGGCUCAGAUAUUCGGGGUAGGUUCUAGAAACCUGGGGCAGGGGCUUGGCGCCCCUGUUUUGGACACAUGCAGGGCAGCUGGGCUCGGAGGGAGGAGAGGCAGGCAUGCACGUUGCACGGCGCUGUGGGUUCGUCGGAACGGGAACUGUGAGUUGGGCUCGGCACCCCCCAAUCUAGGCACGCCUGUCCUGUCGCUG